GCUCUGCUAGUAAGGUGCAGAGCCCUUGAAUAGAGAGUCGCGUCAUCUCCAUUCAUUCUAAUGGGCCAUUUUUUUCACAGCAAUGGCGGUUCGCGGAGCCUCUCAAUAGUUCCCAGAAGUAAGCGGCACAUGCUAGCAGCGCAAUGGAGCUACAGCAGAAAAGACCGGCUGUGAUGUACUUUUAACAGGAGCACUGGGUGGUGGAGGAGAAGUGAUGCUGCAGGACCACUGUGUGAGAGAGGACACUGCAGAUAAGUGCUGAGUCGACCUUGGCGAGACUUAAAACGUAACAAGCACAAGAACAACAGGGGGAUGCAAUGGAGCCUGAACUCACCCCGCAAUGAAACAACCCCCUUACCCUGAGUCUCAACUCUGUGGGUUUUGCAAGCCUUUACCUGUUCCUUAUUUUUAAUAAACCAAACACCGAG